AGUUAGUGCCUGGACCAGGACCAUCACACUGGGGACCGGCUUCUCUGCUCUCCCGUUAUGGGGGUCGGGGGAAUGAUGGGUCAAGGGUCUUCCGAAGAAAGCGAGAAAGGAACAGGCGCCUUCAAAAGCCCACUUGGCGAUGGGUUACAGUAAGAGGUACCUCCAGGCCCGGGCAUCCGCUGGAAACAGGGGUGGGUAGGGUCGUGUCAUCUAAAGGCGCAGCUUCAACCAGAAGACUAGAAGUCAGCCAGGAGCUGGGAGUAGUGUCACGCGGGGUGGGGGUUCCUAUGAGCAUCACUUUACAAAACCAGGAGGGACGGAAGUGCGAGGGGGCAGAGUCUUGGAAACAGGUCCUGGGCCAACUGCAACAGAAUAUACCCGCCGCGUGUAGGGGAAGGCGGCGCCAGGGAGAGGGCGCAGUCUCUGAAUCUUUCCACGGGGUCCAUCCUAGGGCCCCUCCAGGUUCAACGGUCUCCUAACCUGUAGUCACCCACAAGAGCGUGCCCUUUCUGCCCGCCCUUCCUAGCGUUGCUCCCUGCUUGGCUGAGCACUGCGGAGUUUCACGCCUCUAAACCCCGCCUCUUCUUGCAACCUGUGUUGGCCUCAUCUACCCAGCAACUGUCGACGUCACACGACCUGGGCCUCCCUGAAUGGGAGAUAUUUACUAGGCAAUCCCGCCUACUGUUCUGAGGUUUCCCCUCCAGGUGCAGCUUCAGAGCCAGGCGAGCCAGGAAGGACCAGCGGGCGAGGUGGAAGUCUGCAUUAUCACGAGGAGCUUGGAAAGGAGGUAACACACUCAAGGCAAAUUUCAAGUAACUCAUCCUGGAGGCAGCUGCCUACUCUGCAGCUGUGGUUCUCCACCACAGAGAGAAGAAAAGGGAGGGAGAUGGAGUGCGCAGGUCUGAGAAGGCUUUCAUUCUGGAGCAUCUGCAGGAGCCUGCACCAUGGCCCAGUAGCACCCCUUUUUCUCCAUGAGCUGCUGGUGGGUUCCCCCCUCCCGGAUAGCGCCUCCUUCCAGAAAGAGGAUGUG
rnacentral:lncRNA from 1 species